rnacentral:rRNA from 1 species
GACGAACGCUGGCGGCGUGCCUAAUACAUGCAAGUAGAACGCUGAAGGAGGAGCUUGCUUCUCUGGAUGAGUUGCGAACGGGUGAGUAACGCGUAGGUAACCUGCCUGGUAGCGGGGGAUAACUAUUGGAAACGAUAGCUAAUACCGCAUAAUAGUAGAUGUUGCAUGACAUUUGCCUAAAAGGUGCAAUUGCAUCACUACCAGAUGGACCUGCGUUGUAUUAGCUAGUUGGUGGGGUAACGGCUCACCAAGGCGACGAUACAUAGCCGACCUGAGAGGGUGAUCGGCCACACUGGGACUGAGACACGGCCCAGACUCCUACGGGAGGCAGCAGUAGGGAAUCUUCGGAAAUGGACGGAAGUCUGACCGAGCAACGCCGCGUGAGGGAAGAAGGUUGUCGGAUCGUAAAGCUCUGUUGUAAGAGAAGAACGAGUGUGAGAGUGGAAAGUUCACACUGUGACGGUAUCUUACCAGAAAGGGACGGCUAACUACGUG